GCGGGCAUGGUUCAGUGGCAGAACGCGUCCUUGCCAAGGACGAGGCGGGAUUUCGAUUAUCCCUGCCCGCACAA
rnacentral:tRNA from 1 species